CCCUUAGAUGUCCUGGGCCGCACGCGCGCUACACUGAUGCAUUCAACGAGUUUUACCUUGGCCGAGAGGCCUGGGCAAUCUUUUAAACCUGCAUCGUGAUAGGGAUAGAUUAUUGCAAUUAUUAAUCUUGAACGAGGAAUUCCUAGUAAACGCAAAUCAUCAAUUUGCAUUGAUUACGUCCCUGCCCUGUGCACACCGCCCGUCGCACCUACCGAUUGAAUGGUCCGGUGAAGCCUCGGGAUUGUGGCCAGUUCACUUUAUUGGGAGUUGGCUGUGAGAACUUGUCUAAACCUUAUCAUUUAGAGGAAGGUGAAGUCGUAACA
rnacentral:rRNA from 1 species